UCCAGACUCCUACGGGAGGCAGCAGUGGGGAAUAUUGGACAAUGGGGGGAACCCUGAUCCAGCGACGCCGCGUGAGUGAAGAAGUAUUUCGGUAUGUAAAGCUCUAUCAGCAGGGAAGAAGAAAUGACGGUACCUGACUAAGAAGCCCCGGCUAACUACGUGCCAGCAGCCGCGGUAAUACGUAGGGGGCAAGCGUUAUCCGGAUUUACUGGGCGUAAAGGGAGCGUAGACGGUGCAGCAAGUCUGGAGUGAAAGGCAGGGGCCCAACCCCUGGACUGCUCUGGAAACUGUGCGGCUAGAGUACUGGAGGGGCAGGCGGAAUUCCUAGUGUAGCGGUGAAAUGCGUAGAUAUUAGGAGGAACACCGGUGGCGAAGGCGGCCUGCUGGACAGUAACUGACGUUGAGGCUCGAAAGCGUGGGGAGCAAACAGGAUUAGAUACCCCCGUA
rnacentral:rRNA from 1 species